AUGGGCCUAUACAUAAUAAAUUUGUGGACGAUUUUGCCCUUUGGUCUUUUCUGUCCGGUCAACAGUUUCGAUCGGAGACAGAUGAUUCAGAACCAGGAGAACAUCGAAACAGAGGAACAAAACAUAAAACAGCCAGCCGCCAUCUCGCCGUGGUUCCUCCCCGAGGACCGUGACCUCGUCGCGCCUCCUAUCCCGCGUUGCCCGUUCCUGUGGCGGAGGCGCCACCGUCCGCCGCCCUUCGACCGCUCCCUGUCGUGCCGGAGAAGAAGGGCGCCGCCGUACGCCGCACUCCGCUGCUUCCUCACCGUGCGGGAGAAGAAUGGCGCCGCCACUUCAAGCCCCCUGCAGCGUGUGGCAGUCCAAGUCACUUCGUGGCCGUAG
rnacentral:rRNA from 1 species